UCUAAUUUCGUGUCUAUCCGACUUAUGGAUCUCGAGUUAUGGUUUCAUGAAAUAUGGGACAUCUUCUUAGUAAAAUUCUAAUUUUUAUGGUUUCGUGCUCUUCUCUCCAUAAAAUCUUUCGUCUCGAACUACACCGCGAUGCGUGCCAUAUGUCAAAAUGACUUGGUCGUCGAGACCUAGCUUGCAUCCAAAUUUGAACUUGUUCCCAUUCCAACCAGGCGACCUGUGGGCGUUUGAAGAUCA
rnacentral:lncRNA from 1 species